rnacentral:lncRNA from 1 species
AAAACACAUUUAUUUAACUCGGACCCACCGAAACUACUUAAAAAAGACCCGAAAACCUGCUUCACUUUCGACUCCUGGAUACAAACUACAACAUUACGUAAUUUCGACACAACAGCCCUAACAGCACACCGUUUGGAGGGAUCAUUAAGCCCCCUUACAUUCCAGCUACAGAUGCAAAACAUGGGAAAACUGUCAGACUCGCACCACCAAAACCCAAAACAUAGUCAACAGUGACACACG